rnacentral:rRNA from 1 species
UACAGAGGUGGCAAGCGUUGUUCGGAAUUACUGGGCGUAAAGGGCGCGUAGGCGGCCUUCUAAGUCAGACGUGAAAUCCCCCGGCUUAACCUGGGAACUGCGUCUGAUACUGGAGGGCUUGAGUGCGGGAGAGGGAUGUGGAAUUCCAGGUGUAGCGGUGAAAUGCGUAGAUAUCUGGAGGAACACCGGUGGCGAAGGCGGCAUCCUGGACCGACACUGACGCUGAGGCGCGAAAGCUAGGGUAGCAAACGGGG